CCCUUAGAUGUUCUGGGCCGCACGCGCGCUACACUGGUGCGUUCAGCGAGUUUAGCACCUUAACAGAUAUGUUUGGGUAAUCUUCUGAAAACGCACCGUGAUGGGGAUCGAUUAUUGUAAUUAUUAAUCGUCAACGAGGAAUUCCUAGUAAGUGUGAAUCAUCAGUUCGCGCUGAUUACGUCCCUGCCCUUUGUACACACCGCCCGUCGCUGCUACCGAUUGAGUGGUCCGGUGAAUUAUUCGGACCGGUGGACUGUGGGGAAACCCGCGGCCUGCUGGGAAGUCUUGUGAACCUUAUCACUUAGAGGAAGCAGAAGUCGUAACA
rnacentral:rRNA from 1 species